GACCAGACUCCUACGGGAGGCAGCAGUGGGGAAUAUUGCACAAUGGGGGGAACCCUGAUGCAGCGACGCCGCGUGGGUGAAGGAGCACCUCGGUGCGUAAAGCCCUAUCGGCAGGGAAGAAAAGCGAACAGGUUCGCCUGGACGGUACCUGACUAAGAAGCCCCGGCUAACUACGUGCCAGCAGCCGCGGGAAUACGUAGGGGGCAAGCGUUGUCCGGAUUUACUGGGUGUAAAGGGCGUGCAGCCGGGAAGACAAGUCAGAUGUGAAAUCCCGCGGCUCAACCGCGGAACUGCAUUUGAAACUGUUUUUCUUGAGUAUCGGAGAGGUAACCGGAAUUCCUAGUGUAGCGGUGAAAUGCGUAGAUAUUAGGAAGGACACCAGUGGCGAAGGCGGGUUACUGGACGACAACUGACGGUGAGGCGCGAAAGCGUGGGGAGCAAACAGGAUUAGAUACCCUAGUAUC
rnacentral:rRNA from 1 species